rnacentral:tRNA from 1 species
GGAGGGGUGGCAGAGCGGUUGAAUGCACCGGUCUUGAAAACCGGCAAGCCGAAAGGCUUCGUGGGUUCGAAUCCCACCCCCUCUG